rnacentral:rRNA from 1 species
UACGGGGGGGGCAAGCGUUGUUCGGAAUUACUGGGCGUAAAGGGCUCGUAGGCGGCCAACUAAGUCAGACGUGAAAUCCCCAGGCUCAACCUGGGAACUGCGUCUGAUACUGGAUGGCUUGAAUUCGGGAGAGGGAUGCAGAAUUCCCGGUGUAGCGGUGAAAUGCGCAGAGAUCGGGAGGAACACCCGUGAGCAGGAAGGGCGGCG